AUCUUCCGCCCGGCCAUCGGGCCGCGGGCGCUCGGAACCGACCUGGGAGCUGGCGGGACCGUCCUCCCCCGCCACGCCCUCCCAUCGGGCUUUGGGCGCCGGACUCUGGCCACCGCUCGGCACCUGCCUCCGCCUCGCCUUGGGGUAUAGGAGUCCUGUACCGACCCCUGGCUUGCCCAGAGGACAGGUUCUCGCCCGGGCCAGAAGCAAACUGCGGCGAAAUCGAGACAACAGAACUCAGUGCCCUUUCUUUUUCUUCAGAGUCACUCUGUCACCCAGGCUGGAGUGCAGUGGCACCAUCACAGCUCCCUGCAGCCUUGACUUACAGGGCUCCAGUGAUCCUCCACCCUCAGCCUCCUGAGUAUCUGAGACCACAGGUGCAAGCCACCAUGCCCAGAGUGGACCAGUGUGAUGUUUUGUGGAAUGUCAGAACAAUCAAGAUCACUUCAGACUAUUAUGGCAGUGAGCAAGAGAACUAAUGGAGCCCGUGGCAACACUGGGAAGACAUAUUGUUGGCCCUGUUGGGUAACAGCAAAUCACUUCUGAUGGACCUUGCAAAUUGGUAUGGAGGAAAAGGCAUUAGCCAGUUGUAGCAAGGAAACCAAAAGGUAUAAACAUUCACUGAUUGAAAAACAAUGUCAUAAAGUCAUCCCAGUAUCUGUGAGGAGUUGGUUCCAGGACCCCUGAGGACACCAAAAUCCUCAGAUGCUCAAGUCCCUGAUAAAAAAAUAAAAGCAGUGGUGCCCUCGGGUUCAAAAACCUGAACGGUGGUCUUCAGUUGUUCCCCCAAGCUCCUCUAUCAGAGGCCCAGACACUCCAAGAGGCUGGGAAGAGGCAAGUGGCUUUCCCUGACUGGCAUCAGACUCCUGGAUGGCUGUGUUUCUGCAUACUCCACCAUCAACAAUCAGAAGGGCACUGCUUUCUUCAAGAAGGGGACCUUGCAAAGAACUGUCUCAGAUGGACUAUCUUUGAGUUCAUCUUGUUCUGAAUGUGAGUCUGAGUCUUUGUUUCCAGAUGACACAGUGCUGUCUGAGUCCUCUGAAUCACCUGCCUCAGAGCUGCAGCAAAGUUUCUGCUGCCCAGAAACUGAAUGGGCUGCUUGUAAUGCAGAUUCUUCCUCCUGGACAAGAAGUGCUGCUGCUUCUAGUUCUUCCAGUUCUAACCCCAACUGGGCCUUUGUAAGGGAGACUUCCUUUAAGGCUUCUGCAAGAGCUGCCAACGUUUUGGAUUUGACUUUCUGAGUCCACACACAGUAGUAUGAGAUGUAGAGAUCAUUCAGUAUGUAUGCUGGGUCGUUUUCCUGAAAAAUUUUGUGAAUAUCCAGGAGACACUUUAAAACUGCACUUUUACUUAAUUGCAGUAUCUUUAUAGUCUCCCCGUAGGCCUUCAUCGCCAGUUUGAAAUGGCGAUAGAGCAGGUAACACAAUACCCUUCUUCCAAAAGACACCAUGAUAUCAUGAACAUUAGUCCAAGUCUCAAACCAGCAUAGUAUUGGACUCAAGUUUCGUGAUAUUCCAUGCAGAUUCAACGUUCUUGUCUCCUUCAGUGACACGGGUUUCUUAGCAAUAUGCCAGAAGGAUAUCAAUCGAACUGUAGUACACUUGACGACAGGCUCUGUUGUCUAGCAGAUAAGAUUUAUUGACAAAUUCUUGUAGCUGAUAUUUCUCUUCUUCAGAAAAAGACACUAAUGCAGCAUGAUUUUCUUGCUUCUGACUCUUUUCCAAAAAGGCCGUCAUUUUUUAAUAUUUGUCAGUCCACCAAGGAUUAUACUUCAAAAUCUGUUCAACUGCCUCAUCUUCAAAAAAGUCAGCUAGAUAAUGAUCAGGAUCAAACUUGGCCAGCUCGGCGGCCAGGUGCUUUUGUUUUCGUUCUGCUGCAGGGAUGAAAUCUGGAUCCUUAAUAACAUCACUCAAUUCAUCCUGUAACUGCUGAAACACUCCUGAUCGUAAGUUUCCAAACCCAUAGUGGCAUGAGGAUUCAAAGCACUUUCUGUUACCUCUUCAUAGGGUGUCUGCUCAAUUUCCCAAUCAAACUCUUCAUCGUCAACUACUUCCUCAGGAAUUUCAGAAUCACCUAUUGCUUCCACAAGUGGUUUUGCUGUCCCGGAUUUUCCUGGUGCCAGAAGAGCAACACAUGUUCAGCCCCUCAAAAUGCUGGCCAGGGGUUUCUCUGGGCAGGCGAGUGGUAAAAAUUCCUUUAUCUGCAUCAUAGGACCCUUGCUCGCUUCCGUAUCCAUAUUCUACAAUUCUUCCAGGAGGGGUUAAUCUGAGAAAGUACGGCUUGGCAUAGUAGUCUAGGCCGACCCCUCGAAGUAGACGUUGAACUCGGAGGCCGGGGCAUAGGGCACGCGGAUGGCGAUGGUCAGGAAAUCCGGCUCCUGGCUGAGGCUGAACGCCGGGGUCAGCAUCGCGGCACCAGACGCAGGGGCCAGCGCGGCUCGCCCUCGCUGCCGCGGCGGUCCCACCAAGCAACUCUCUCCAAUUUUACCUUUUUAAAAUAAAAGAUGUCUGGGCCAGGCGCAGUGGCUCACGCUUGUAAUCCCAGCACUUUGGGAAGCCGAGGCGGGUGGAUCCUGACCUGAGGUCAGGAGUUCAAGAUCAGCCCCGCCGACAUGACGAAACUCCGUCUCUACUAAAAAUACAAACAUCAGCCGGACGUGGUGGUGGGCGC
rnacentral:lncRNA from 1 species